CCUUUUGUAGAAUGAACCGGCGAGUUACGAUUUGAUGCAAGGUUAAGCAGUAAAUGUGGAGCCGUAGCGAAAGCGAGUCUGAAUAGGGCGUUUAGUAUUUGGUCGUAGACCCGAAACCAGGUGAUCUACCCUUGGUCAGGUUGAAGUUCAGGUAACACUGAAUGGAGGACCGAACCGACUUACGUUGAAAAGUGAGCGGAUGAACUGAGGGUAGCGGAGAAAUUCCAAUCGAACCUGGAGAUAGCUGGUUCUCUCCGAAAUAGCUUUAGGGCUAGCCUCAAGUGAUGAUUAUUGGAGGUAGAGCACUGUUUGGACGAGGGGCCCCUCUCGGGUUACCGAAUUCAGACAAACUCCGAAUGCCAAUUAAUUUAACUUGGGAGUCAGAACAUGGGUGAUAAGGUCCGUGUUCGAAAGGGAAACAGCC
rnacentral:rRNA from 1 species